UGAAUUCCAACGAAAUUCACAAUCAGCCGAAAGCUUUUGAGCAGCACAGCUUAUGCUAAUUCCGGAAGAUGCAAUCGAAAAUCGAACUUCAGUUCAAAUUCUUGCAACGGUAUGCUGUACGACGUAAUCAAAUGUUCAGUGAUCGCCUGAGAAAUAUUUUACAUUGCCUAGAUUCUGCUGGAGUUAACACAGAUCACCUGUUGAUAAAAUUCUUUUCAGGUGCUAGUAAGCAUCACGGAGAAAAACUAGGCUGGUUUGAAACAACAAAUCUGUAAGUUGUUUUUCUAUCUUUGCUGUUUGGCGGUUGAAACAAACUGGCUUGUUUGUUGUUUCUAAUAUUGGUUAGUAAAAUCCCUUCCGGUAGAAAUAAAUUUGGAAAUUUGUUGUUUUCUACAAACAUCAUGGUUUGUUUUUACUAAUCUUUGGGUUGACUGUUUCAUGUGUUUGUAAUAAAAAACAAACCACAAUUUUGGUUUGUUCCAACAAACAGCCCGGGUAAAAUCAAACCGAGUUUUUGUUUGAGGAAAAUUUAACAGGAAGUUUAGUUUGAAACAAACCAAAAUAGUAGUUUGUUUCAUUAGAACCAUCCCAGAAGCCUCGCUACUAGCUCUUUUCGUUCAGCCAUUUGAAGAGUCUUUGCGGACAUCAUACACUCCCUGUAUGCUCUUCUGUACUGAUGCUGCCGUUGCAACCCGAAGUUUGUGAUCAAAAAAAAGUCUCAUUUUUACAAGAUACACCAGGAAAAAAUCUCGAAAAACCUCGCAUAUUUCCAACACCAAGUAAAAGACGCAACCUUCUUGAAGGGCCACACCGUUUCUCCCGAGGUUUCACGCACUCGGGACUGAAGAAGCUAUGAUGGCGGAAUUGCGACCGUAGCUGAAGAAACCAAGCCAGGAUGAGAAGGAGCAGUGGAAAAACCAAGCUGAGCACUCGGCCAGGGCUUCAACCAGGACCACAAACUAGCAAUCAUUUCCCGUAAAAGAUCCCCACAAUAGAAAACGCUUGCUAGCCGGCCGCAUCACCAGCUCCUUCCAAAAGCAAUGAAUAUCAGGUUAAUUAUGGAAGCCGCUAUGGAGCACCCCAAAUAUCGCCGGAAAUCAAUCGAUCGAACGGUCAGCAUAAGCAGAUUGUUACAUCGGCAUUGGGAGGAGGCUGUUCCUGGGAGUACAACUGUAAAUAUCGGCAAUCUGGAGGUUGUUCUUCCGCUGAAAGGUUCAGUCUUGGACAUAUACAAAUACAAAAAAGAGGGGCAAAGCAAAAGCAAUUUUAACAAACCCGUUAGUUUAUUUCAAACGGAAGUUCCGGUUAAAUCAAACCUAAAUUUGGUAAAGACAAACAGUGAGUAUUAGUUGAAACAACUACCGACAUCGUUUGUUUUCUAACCUGUCAAAAUAAAACAACUGGCAUAUUGGUAAUUUCAAACAAAAGUUUGUUGAUAAUAACGGCAAAUUGACAAAAUCUACAACUGCCAACUUUAAUUAGUUUCAACUACCGCGAUAAGUAAAUUCAAACCAAUAUUUGGUUUGUGCCAAAUUCAAUCUGAAAUUCCGGUUGAAUUAAACUGAAAUUCGUUUGUGUUUAGUAAUAUUUUUUCUCCGUGAUGAAAAUAAAAAGAACGGAAUUUCGUUCUAAUGUUUAACCAAGAUCGUUAGUACACAGGGUACUCGAUCAAAUUUUUAUUAAUUAGUGUCAAACAGAUAUUUUAUCUUUAGUUGUUUAGAUUGCUUGUCAAAUAUUUGACCCGUGUACUGGAGUUGAAAUUCGGGUCCAGAUUCCUACUGGGGGGAAUUUAGCAGUAAAAUAAGGGCUAUUCGAGGUUUCCGAUGCAUGGCCAUUUAUCAGUUCUAUUGUUUUGUUUUAUAAGAAAUCAAAAUAAAAACUGUAUCACAAUCGAUACUUUAUUGCCCUUUGAUGGCAAUUGAGUAUUGCGACGUGCACUACACUAAGGUUAUGAGCAGGGAUAGGGUGCGACUCAAAACUCUUUGCGUGCCGCACACGCUGCUACGACACAGCACAACAAACCAGAAGGAGACGAGUACGUGCAAUCGGUUGUGUGUUGCUCGCUUACUUUGCCGCGCGCUGAAGCUCUCCUGUCUCUCACGCUUUGUCGUAUGCACUCUCUCGGUGCUUGUCUCCGUGCUUUGCACUUUGCAUGAUACUACGCAUGAUUGGUAAAAUUUCGAAUCAAACGACCUAUCACUUAUCAACCCUUGGCAAGCUUAAUAACUUUGUCGAAAACACAAACUAUUCAAUUAAUUUAUUAACUGAUUUUUUUUUUCUGUUUGGUGACAAGCACUGUCCCAAGCACCGUGCAUUACUCCCUGCGCCGUAGAGCUAGUGCUGCGGUUUGUCUCUCGUACAAUUACGAAAGCUCUCACUCAUACGUCUCUUGUCUCUCGGCAAAACGGGAGACAAGCACUUGAGAUUGUGCGAAGCACACACUUUUUUCGCACCGCACGGUGCAUGCCGUCAAUCCCUGAUAUGUCACAAUAGAUCUAAAAACUGGUCGCAGUGACAGACCCGAACAGGAAACAUGUUCCUUGUUCACUAUCGCCAUCUACUCAGUGGGUUUGCUUACCACAGCGUAAUUAGCAUUGGACGAUUAUGUUUCCGUGGCGAUGAUUGUUAUCGCAUUUUAUUCCAAGGGAUACGUCUGUUUGUCUGUGAUUGUAGCAUAGUUUGGUCAUCAUUUUCGGUUUCACAUGAAAGAAGUUCAUUAGUAGAAUCAAAAUACAGAAACAAUUUGUACUGUGUGCACUUCGUAAUUUAGUUGGACAAGGUUACCUCUUCCAUCUUAUGAAGCACGAUGCAUGCUCAUUAACCCUUUAUAAGGCCGAGAGAACCAGGCACGGAACCCACUCGUUCUACAUUGGAAUAUAAAGUACAUGUGGUGUAAUGAACAAAAACGUUUUUAUUUUCAAAAAAUUCGAUGGUCGAUUUUGUAUGAAAAAAAUUGGUCUAAAUUUCAACUUUUUGUCAACAAAGUUUAAAAUGUUGUGAUGUGUUUAUCAAUCAUGCUGAUUUUUUGACAGGUUAUUGCCCUAAUAUUCAUAAGUUAUUUGUGUGAAUUUGAACUCGUUUGGUCAAUUAUUUUGGACGAUAUGGCAAUUUUAGUACAUGGCCAUUUAUUAUAGUACAUUUUUUCAAAAGGCCGAGUUUCUAAAAGUAAAGAAGUAAACAAGUUGAAAUUUUGUCCACAAGUAAAAGGAACAUAGGCCUUUCAUUCCCCAUCAUUCGAUUCGCUCACCACAACAGAAGUUCGAGCUUAUGAACCUUAAUGCACUCAAAAAUGGCGGUUUUUGGAGAGACAUUUUGUUCUAAAAAAGCCCAUUCAUAUUUGUUAUGGCUCAAAAAAAUCAUGAGUGCUCACAAAGGCCUAAUGUGUCCCUCAGUUAAAACAGAAGUUGCAAAAAUUUUCUAAACGAACAGAAAAAAAUAUGUGUACAAGGUGGCAAUAUAGUUGCCACUGCCUUAUAAAGGGUUAACUUUCAAACACUAAAAGAACGUCGCAAACUUGCAAUUUUAUCAUUUGAAAACUACAUCGUUGCGCAACUAUUGAUUCGAUGGAACUUCUUUCAAAAUAUUUUUUUUGCACAUUUCUCGACAACUACGAAAUCGUAGUAUUUUUUAUAGAAACCAUCAUCGUUCCUAAAUUUGGUUCCAUCAAUAAUAUAAUGACAACUUACAAUACAUUUUGCGAAACUAAAGAUUUUAGAAUAACGAAAUCACAACUAAAAAAGCUAUUUGCACUCGUUAUUAGAAUUGAAAGAAGCAAACAAAUCUAGUUUUAAGCUCAAAUUGUAAUACAACGGUCUACUUAUGAUUGAUUGACUACAUGAAAUAAAUAAAUUUGGUCAGUUCUACAAUUUCUACAUGCUUCGUCGCUGAUCAGCUGCUGGUUAAUUUGACAGAAACCUUCGUUCAAAAUUUUUGCUCAAAAAGCAUUGCAAAUCCCCACACCGCCGCUUUACGCUAGUAUAUUCACCAAUUGCAUCGUAUCACACCAUCACACCGAAUGAUUUGCCUUUUCUUUCCCUACGGAUAAUCUGACUGC